rnacentral:sRNA from 1 species
UUCUUGUCCUCAGAGCAGAACCUUGCGCGGGCACAGGGCCCCGGGCGCACCAUGGCCGACGCAGACGAGGGCUUUGGCCUGGCGCACACGCCUCUGGAGCCUGACGCAAAAGACCUGCCCUGCGAUUCGAAACCCGAGAGCGCGCUCGGGGCCCCCAGCAAGUCCCCGUCGUCCCCGCAGGCCGCCUUCACCCAGCAGGGCAUGGAGGGAAUCAAAGUGUUUCUCCAUGAAAGAGAACUGUGGCUGAAAUUCCACGAAGUGGGCACGGAAAUGAUCAUAACCAAGGCUGGAAGGCGGAUGUUUCCCAGUUACAAAGUGAAGGUGACGGGCCUUAAUCCCAAAACGAAGUACAUUCUUCUCAUGGACAUUGUACCUGCCGACGAUCACAGAUACAAAUUCGCAGAUAAUAAAUGGUCUGUGACGGGCAAAGCUGAGCCCGCCAUGCCCGGCCGCCUCUACGUGCACCCAGACUCCCCCGCCACCGGGGCUCAUUGGAUGAGGCAGCUCGUCUCCUUCCAGAAACUCAAGCUCACCAACAACCACCUGGACCCAUUUGGGCAUAUUAUUCUAAAUUCCA